AGAUCCCCCUCUGCCAUUUACCAAUCAUGGGACCUUGCACAGGCUACAUAACCUAACUGUGGGUAAUGAUUCCUCUGGACCAGGCUGUCAGAGAGGAUGCAAGUGCUGGCACAUACUCAGGGCACAGGAAAAGUUCUCUUCCCUUACAUCACUCUUUCGGAGAGAUAAGGAAGGCCCGUUUCCUUCCCAGCCAGAGGCCUCUAAGGUGAGUGAGGCUACUGGCUGUCUUUGGAAUCCUCUGCGGGGAGGAAGCCGCCCUGAGCUGGGAGGGUCAGCACCAGGACCAGGAGGGCGGGGACAAAGGGGCAUUGUUCCCAGGAGGGCUGGCGGAUCUGGGGCGGACUGCGCGCCCUUGGCAGAGGUCAAGUUUGCUCCCCCUGAGGGCAACUCCUCCGUCCCGGCCCACCACGGCCAACCUCAGGCAGCAGGAAUGCAGGAAAAUGCCAGAGACCGUUUGCUUUCCCCUGGGGCAGGUCCCCAGGAGGCGGCCAGGUGACAGCACCGCCCCUUCCUCUCGCCGACUGUGGACCUUUCCGAGCCCUGCUCUGCCGGAUUCCUCCCGCGCAGAGAGGAGGUGCUGAUGCCUACGACGCGCAGGCCCGAAACCGGGGUAAACUUGACCCCAACCUUACCCCGCUGCAGUCCCGAGACAUUGAGCGGGGGCUCAGUCCCGAAAGCUGAAGAUCCUGCAGUUGAGAUCGCAGAAAACAAACUUCUGUAUGCUGUGCCCAUCUCCAAGGAAACUCGGCGCCUCUUUUGAGGCUCCCAAGUCCCACGAGGGCGGUGGUGCAGAGAUUCCCUGCUUGGAGAAGGGCGCCUGGGUGGCGGACGCUGACUCCGGGGUCUGUAGGCGCCUGGGCGUCCCUUCGUAGGGCUCGGGAUCGGGGUUUGAGAAAAUCUUUCUUCACUUUGAUCGCCUCCAGGUGGCCCGCCCUGCGGGCAGAGAGUCAGACGGCGGCGGCUCCCACCUACUCUCUUCCUGAAUCUUAGGUGACACUCGCCGCUGCGGAUCACACUGGCUGCUGUGUUGAGAAUAAUUGAGCACAAUGGAGGCUCCCGUAAUGAUAAAGGAGAUUUGCGGUGCAUGGAAGCAGAACAAUGAGGCAAUAGCCAGAGAGAAAAGCCGGAUGAAGAAAGGGUCUUUUUUUAAACAUGAAAGAAAUAACAUCAUGGGAGAGAGCCCGUUAUAUACCGAUGGGAAAGAUCCUAUAGAGUAAAGGUGAGUCUGUAAAAGAGAGAGGGAGAUUGCUAGAAUAGGGAUCUUUAGAAGAUGAGAGGAGAUGGGACUGUGCCCACUGAGCACAGAAGCAUAGACAGCUCGUCCAUAAUACAAGAGCAGAGCCAGCAGAGUAAAUGGGCACAGAGGCCGAGAGGAGGGUAAAUGUGGUGGUGGGAGCUAGCGGAUUUCCGUUCUCUAUUUUCAGUUAAUUUUUAACCCAAACAUAACACUUAGUUA